rnacentral:rRNA from 1 species
CAAUAGCGUAUAUUAAAGUUGUUGCAGUUAAAAAGCUCGUAGUUGGAUUUCUGGUGGGAGCGAUCGGUCUGGCGCUUAGCGCGAGUACUUGCAUCGUCUCCGGCCAUCCUUGGGGAGAGUCUGUCUGGCAUUAGGUUGUCGGGCAGAGGAUCCUCAUCGUUUACUGUGAAAAAAUUAGAGUGUUCAAAGCAGGCUUAUGCCGUUGAAUAUAUUAGCAUGGAAUAAUAAGAUAGGACUUUGGUACUAUUUUGUUGGUUUGCGCACCAAAGUAAUGAUUAAUAGGGACAGUUGGGGGUAUUCGUGUUCCGUUGUCAGAGGUGAAAUUCUUGGAUUUACGGAAGACGAACUACUGCGAAAGCAUUUACCAAGGAUGUUUUCAUUAA